AUAGAAGGUCGGUCUGUCGCUGCGGAGAUUUAAUUCAUCUCCGGAGAGGAAAGUCCGGGCAACACAGAGCACCGCACAUCCUAACGGGAAGCCGAUGGCGACAUCGGGGCAAGUGUGACAGAAAACUACCGCCAGCCAUAUUUCUCAUUGGCUGGUAAGGGUGAAAAGGCGGGGUAAGAGCCCACCGGCUCCGGAGGCGACUCCGGAGGCCGCACAUCCUGCGGGUUGCAAGGCCAAAUACACCGGCUGUUAAGGAUUGCUCGUCCUUAGCCGGGGGGUAGGCUGCUUCAGCCGUCGGGAGACCGUCCGGCGUAGAUAAAUGACAGACACCCGGUUCGUCCGGGCACAUAACCCGGCUUAUAGCCCUUCUAUCUGG
rnacentral:RNase_P_RNA from 1 species